AAACAAUUUAACGUUGGGUUUAGGCAACAAAACUACAUUGUUAGGUUAAACAAUUUAACGUUAAGUUUAGGCAACAAAACUAUGUCCUUAGGUUAAACAAUUCAACGUUAGCUUUAGGCAACAAAACUACAUUAUUAGGUUAAACAAUUUA